AUUGAACGCUGGCGGCAGGCCUAACACAUGCAAGUCGAGCGGAUGAAGGGAGCUUGCUCCUGGAUUCAGCGGCGGACGGGUGAGUAAUGCCUAGGAAUCUGCCUGGUAGUGGGGGAUAACGUCCGGAAACGGGCGCUAAUACCGCAUACGUCCUGAGGGAGAAAGUGGGGGAUCUUCGGACCUCACGCUAUCAGAUGAGCCUAGGUCGGAUUAGCUAGUUGGUGGGGUAAAGGCCUACCAAGGCGACGAUCCGUAACUGGUCUGAGAGGAUGAUCAGUCACACUGGAACUGAGAAACGGUCGAGACUCCUACGGGAGGCAGCAGUGGGGAAUAUUGGACAAUGGGCGAAAGCCGGAUCCAGCCAUGCCGCGUGUGUGAAGAAGGUCUUCGGAUUGUAAAGCACUUUAAGUUGGGAGGAAGGGCAGUAAGUUAAUACCUUGCUGUUUUGACGUUACCAACAGAAUAAGCACCGGCUAACUUCGUG
rnacentral:rRNA from 1 species